AUGAACUGCAGAUACAGAGUUCCGGGCGAUGUCACAGCGGGAGCUCGUCAGGAAGUGCAGAGGCUCAAGGCCUCUGUGUCUCACCUGCAGACAGCCCUGCAGGAGCUGCAGAGCAGCGGGUUGCACUCGGAAGACGCCGGGAUUGGGGCUGCGGAAGCUAGGAAGGCCGACCUCAUGGAUAAGAAGGCCAAGCUGGACGAGACCCUGGCUGCAGCCCGCCAGUUCAGAGCACUGCUUCGGCAGUAG
rnacentral:rRNA from 1 species